AGUUAUCGAUGCGGGAACUACUCUCGAGAGUGGUGCGUAGCUAUCUCCGACGGUUUGUGGUAGAAUCGAGUCUGAAUAUACAUAAAAACCGUAUACUCCACCUGUCAGAUCAGGGUAGUGUUUUCCCACGGCCAAACCAUAGUAACUUCCCGGCUGGAAUCCUAACAUUUCGCCAAUAACUACGCGGUGGUCCGGGAAAUGUAUAUACGCGUGCGUAUAUGUUACGAUAAAAGUGAUUAAUGUGGCUGAUGGUGCGUAAUCACCCACAAUAAUCGUCUCGGUAAGUUUGACAAGUUUCUGGCUUUUACCAACGAUUAUAAAUUGGUAAGUUUGAUAAAUGUGCUCGAAUACAUUACAUUACUUUUCCAGCAUUUCCAAAAUGUAGUCGAUGAUAAAUUGUUGUUGUUUUAGUCACUAAUUUAAUUAGAGGGUUACAGUUAUUUUAGUUCGGUAACAGCCUCCGGUCGACUUUUAACUCGGCCGAUCUCUAACCGUUUGUUCGUAGUCGUCUUCCCGGCCAAAUCCGCCAUUCGACCCAGACGCUUUCCGCGCUCUCGAUGUACGCUUCCCUGUUUACAGGCAAAUCGGUUUUUGUGAAAGUUGUAUGGACGUUAUCCCGACACGGGAAUCAUCUUCGCUGGUGACGCGUCAGUUGGUAGGCCAUUAAUUCGUAUUUCCUCGUUUCUCCCAUUCGCCUUUUAUUCGAAUAGAGUAUCGGAUGGCCAGACGCGAAAUCCGAACCACCAAAGGACUACGAACACUCGACCCAUAGCGGAAAAUGCGUCGUUUUCUUUCGAAAUUUUUUAUUUUCUGGUUUUACCGCCUUAGUUUUUUUAAACACAAAGACCCGAUGUGUAGUCGGUGACCAGGCACCCUUAGAAGGUAGAGCCGGAGUGGCCAAACUCGGUUUACCGGUGCCGAUACCUAUAGAAACGAUUGUCGAAGUUGGUGGCGUCGGCCAAUACCCAGGCCACUGCUCGUACCUAUCGAUCCGAUUCGGUUACGUUACCCGUACCACCGAGAAAAUUUGACGGAACACUGGCCCAAUAUUUUAAAACAAAGUUACAACCGAAGGCGAAUGUAAUGGCUCGGGUUUUCUCUGGCCAAGAUAUCCCAACGACAACAUUACCAGACGAUAAAACUGUUGUUAUUUUCUACUACUCGACACCUUCAGUCGCCGAGAUUGGCAGUGGCCCUGGCAAAUUACCGUUAACUAUCUCGGUUAAAGAUGUCGGUCGAUUUUCUUUUUUAGAUUCAUUCGUUUUCCUCCGCCAAAACGAACAACAACCGUCGGCCUAGAUACCCACUCGGGAGCUCGGUACUCCCGAACAGCGCCAUUAUUUUGGUGGCAAAAUUUCCCGAGAAGCGAUGGAUAGAUGGGCGCUAACCGGAGCCAAAGUGGGAGUAGUUACCGAUAGCGCGUCGGGCUUAAAAACAUUUAGCUCGUUAAAUUGUAAUCGCUUUCCGACCGUAACAGGCGUUUAAACCAAUAGCUAAAACGUCUGGCGGGCCGUCGGUUUGAGACCACCGUCCGAUAUUUUUAUCGGGCACCGUAUUCCACCACCAUAUAACUGGCUCGUGUUUGAUAGACUAUAACUGCGCUUUUGCUUUUCUGUAUUGGAGACAGAAAAUCCGAGUGGUAGUUAAAUUUCUACUAGCUUAUUAAACGCUUUACCAC
rnacentral:lncRNA from 1 species